GACGAACGCUGGCGGCGUGCUUAACACAUGCAAGUCGAACGGAAAGGCCCUGCUUUUGUGGGGUGCUCGAGUGGCGAACGGGUGAGUAACACGUGAGUAACCUGCCCUUGACUUUGGGAUAACUUCAGGAAACUGGGGCUAAUACCGGAUAGGAGCUCCUGCUGCAUGGUGGGGGUUGGAUAGUUUCGGCGGUUGGGGAUGGACUCGCGGCUUAUCAGCUUGUUGGUGGGGUAGGGGCUUACCCAGGCUUUGACGGGUAGCCGGCCUGAGAGGGUGACCGGCCACAUUGGGACUGAGAUACGGCCCAGACUCCUACGGGAGGCAGCAGUGGGGAAUAUUGCACAAUGGGCGGAAGCCUGAUGCAGCAACGCCGCGUGCGGGAUGACGGCCUUCGGGGUGUAAACCGCUUUCGCCUGUGACGAAGCGUGAGUGACGGUAAUGGGUAAAGAAGCACCGGCUAACUACGUG
rnacentral:rRNA from 1 species